AAUCAACGCUGGCGGCGUGCCUAACACAUGCAGGUCGAACGCGAGAGUCCCGCAAGGGACAAUUGAGUGGCAAACGGGUGAGUAACACGUGGGUGACCUGCCCUUAGCUCUGGGAUAAGCCUGGGAAACUGGGUCUAAUACCGGAUAUGACUCCAUGACGCAUGUUGUGGGGUGGAAAGCCUUGUGCGGCUAGGGAUGGGCCCGCGGCCUAUCAGCUUGUUGGUGGGGUGAUGGCCUACCAAGGCGACGACGGGUAGCCGGCCUGAGAGGGCGACCGGCCACACUGGGACUGAGACACGGCCCAGACUCCUACGGGAGGCAGCAGUGGGGAAUCUUGCGCAAUGGGCGAAAGCCUGACGCAGCGACGCCGCGUGAGGGAUGACGGCCUCGGUUGUAA
rnacentral:rRNA from 1 species